UCAGGCUGGGUUCAGGUGUCAAGCGUAGUAUUUAGAUUGUGUAUUUUCCAUUUUGAAGAGUUUCUUCCAGUAGGAUACAGUGCUAUGUGAUACAACCUCUUUCGCUGUCAGUUAGUGUUUUGUUCCGGAGUUUAGUUUAGAGGAGCCCCGUAGACGAAGAUUCUGGGUGUAUCCAUUUCUUCGCUCGUCAAAAGGUUUUCUUUCAGUGGUCUAUCAAGAUUUGCGAAGGGAUGAUGUAAAAUGUAAAAAUUAUUGCCGACUGCCAAAGUUGAUGUUUCAUCACCUUCCUGAUGUCAUCAAAGAUGAUUUGACUAUGACCACUACCUGUAUGCGGAGGCCAAUUUCACCCAAGGAUCGUUUACUCAUCACCUUGCGAUUUUUUGCCACAGGAGAGAGCUAUGCAUCCCUGCUCCUUCAAUUCAGAGUUGGUGUUUCGACUAUCUCCAGAAUUGGAAGGUGUACAUUCAGCGUGAUCUGGCAGAAAUUGUAGCCCACUGAGAUGCCGUGCCCAUCCGAGGAGACUUGGUUACAGGUUGUAGCAGGCUUUCACACUGUAGCCAAUUUUCCAAACUUCAUAGGUGGAGUUGAUGGCAAACAUAUCAGGGUGCAGCAGCCACCGCACUCGAUUUUAUAAUUAUAAAAAAUAUUUUUCGAUUGUACUGAUGCCGGUGGCUGAUGCUCACUCUCGAUUUGUUGCCAUUGAUGUUGGCAACUAUGGCAGUACUGGAGAUUAUCGGGUGCUGCAAGUAUCUGCAAUUGUUAGGCAAAUUCUUCGAGAUUGCAUCACGCUCCCAGCUGCCAGACCUCUUCCGGGUUCCACAGUUCUUGUUCCCUUUGUGAUGUUAUCGGAUGAGGCUUUUCCAUUAUUGCCCAACCUGCUGCGCCCAUAUGCACAAAGAGAACUGGAUUCUCGCCGGAGGAUUUUUAAUUAUAGGCUGGCUCGGGCACGUCGAGUUGUGGAAUGCGCUUUUGGAAUAAUGAGUAGUCAGUGGAGGGUCCUGAAUACUGCAAUCUGUUUGGACGUGAACACAGUUGAUAUUGUGGUGAAGGCUUGCUGUAUGCUUCCCAACUUCAAUCGCAAUAACAUCCGUGAUGGAGAAGUAUUGAUGCCACCAUCAAGCCUUCACACCCAUGUCAACUAGGGUUCACAACCUAACACCAACGGAAUGCAAAUUCGGGAAGUCUUUGCCGACUAUUUCAUUGCUCCACAAGGUGCCGUGCCCUGGCAAUACUUCUGUGCCGGUGUUGAGUAAACCAGGGUGAUGGAAUCCAGGACCAGCUACUAGUGUUGGAAAACAUGAUGCGACUUCCACUUUGUUAAGUGUGAUGCAAUAUACUAUCAAAGUGUGAAGAACACUCUUGCCAAGGUGUGAGAAGUGGAAGUUUGACCAUGUACUAUCCUUAUCGUGGGGUAUAUGAUGCUGGUGCUGUUUAUUGUAUUCAUAUUUUUGGAUUAUCUAUGCUAAAAUGUGUACCGUAUUUUUCGCCGUAUUAGACGCACUUUUUCUUCCCCAAAACUGGGGGGAAAAAGUCGGUGCGUCUUAUAUGGCGAAUACACCCCUAUCGCGGCGGUCCCUGCGGCCAUCAACGGCCGGGACCCGCGGCUAAUACAGGACAUCACCGAUCGCGGUGAUGCCCUGUAUUAAUCCUUCAGAUGCGGCGAUCAAAGCUGACCGCCA